CUGCGCAGCUCAGGCCGAGGGCUAAAACACUCCACAACAGAUAAAGCUUUUGCCAAUGUGUUUUCAUUGCAACGGACCGACGUCAGACGCGUUUUCCUUUUGAACCUGCGCGUGAAGCCGCCGCUCCGCCGCGGCUGGAGGAGCCUUUGGAUCCACUGGACCCUUUGGAGGAGGUGGGAGAGGAGGAUGCUCCCCAAGCAUCUUGGACGAUUCCUCUGGUUCACUGCAUCAGACAGUGGAGACAGUGGAGGCUGACCCACCACCAGUGUAGGAAGGAGUGGUACCACAGAUCCUUGAUAUCCACUGCUGUGCAACUUCAUCCUGUGCAUUUUACAGUACUACAUAUAUGUGUGAGCUGCAGAUCUGUUACAUGUUUACAUGUUUGUUACAUGUUUAACAAAUGUUAAAUAUGCAGAAAAUUAUGUCCUAUUUGUGAGACGUUGAGUUGUUUUUUUCAUUCUGCACAUUUUGCCCAUUUCUUGUUUUUGCAUCCUGGUAUUUUUUUGUGGCUUAUUUUUAAAAAAAAGUUUGUCUUAUCGAAAGUUAUCUAUGUUAUGGGCCUUUUUUCAUCACAUACUAUGCUAUGGCACAAUAUUGACAACAUUCUUUUAACAACACAACAUUCUAAAGACGAACAUAUGGCAUAAUUUUCAACACAGACUAUGGCAUAUUUUUUUCAAGACACACUAUACUGGUGUAAUUUUGACGACAUACUGUGCCAUGAUAUAUUAUGGUUCAGUUCUGAUAAAAUAUCAUAGUACAGUGUAUUUUUAAUGGCAUACACCAAAUACAAUGGUGUAUUUUUCAACACAUACUAUAUCAUGGCACAAUUCUGACUAUUAUAUAUACACACACACUAUCUGGUAUAUUUUCAAUGGCAUACUUUACUAUGGUAUAUUUUUAAAUGACACUUUAUUGUGAUAAAUUAAUUCAUAAUAAUUUAGCGGUUUCCACUGAACCCUUGAAAAAUGUAUCAUUAUUAUAGUUAUACAUAAUACACAGUAUAAAGAGAAAAAAAACUUUAUAUAAAUAUUGAAGGUCACUUAAAUAAAUAUAACUGUAGUAAUUAAUUUUACAAAGUCAAGUAAAUUCACUUAAAUUAUUUGAUCAUCUUUAUUUAACAUAUUUACAAUACAUUACAAUUGUGUAAUGCUUAGAAAAACAUAUUUACAAUUUAAACAUACUACAGAAUACAAACACCAAAGAGAAUUCAUUCAAUUUAGUGCAAUUUUUGACCUUAAAAUGAAGACUUUGCACUUCAGUUGUCUUUUCAAAACCUUUGUAACCUUUGUGACAAACAGGGGUGUAAUAGGCGGUUCAAUGCUGUAGUCAAAAACUGGGAUUAAUGCCUCCUGUUUGAAUCCUCAGUCUACAGAGUCUCACAAUACUGCAAAGGCAUGGAUGUCAAGUCCUUCACACAGGAUGUACAGUAGAUGGUAAUAAAUUAAACGUGCUUUCAUUAAAAAAAAAAAAAA